UACAUAGGUAGCAAGCGUUAUCCGGAAUAACUGGGCGUAAAGGGAGCGUAGGUGGUUGUGCAAGUUGUAUGUGAAAGCCCCAGGCUUAACCUGGGAACUGCAUACAAAACUGUACUUCUAGAGUGUGGGAAAGGCAAGUGGAAUUCCUAGUGUAGCGGUAGAAUGCGUAGAGAUUAGGAGGAACACCAGAGGCGAAGGCGGCUUGCUGGAACACAACUGACACUGAGGCUCGAAAGCGUGGGGAGCAAACAGGAUUAGAUACCCUGGUAGUCCACGCUGUAAACGAUGGAUACUAAAUGUAGGCGGAAUCGACUCUGCCUGUAUUGAAGCUAACGCGUUAAGUAUCCCGCCUGAGUAGUACGGCCGCAAGGUUGAA
rnacentral:rRNA from 1 species